CUGGACAAAGACUGACGCUCAGGUGCGAAAGCGUGGGGAGUAAACAGGAUUAGAUACCCUGGUAGUCCACGCUGUAAACGAUGUCGAUUUGAAGGUUGUUCCCUUGAGGAGUGGCUUUCGGAGCUAACGCGUUAAAUCGACCGCCUGGGGAGUACGGCCGCAAGGUUAAAACUCAAAUGAAUUGACGGGGGCCCGCACAAGCGGUGGAGCAUGUGGUUUAAUUCGAUGCAACGCGAAGAACCUUACCUACUCUUGACAUCCAGAGAACUUAGCAGAGAUGCUUUGGUGCCUUCGGGAACUCUGAGACAGGUGCUGCAUGGCUGUCGUCAGCUCGUGUUGUGAAAUGUUGGGUUAAGUCCCGCAACGAGCGCAACCCUUAUCCUUUGUUGCCAGCGAUUCGGUCGGGAACUCAAAGGAGACUGCCGGUGAUAAACCGGAGGAAGGUGGGGAUGACGUCAAGUCAUCAUGGCCCUUACGAGUAGGGCUACACACGUGCUACAAUGGCGUAUACAAAGAGAAGCGACCUCGCGAGAGCAAGCGGAACUCAUAAAGUACGUCGUAGUCCGGAUUGGAGUCUGCAACUCGACUCCAUGAAGUCGGAAUCGCUAGUAAUCGUAGAUCAGAAUGCUACGGUGAAUACGUUCCCGGGCCUUGUACACACCGCCCGUCACACCAUGGGAGUGGGUUGCAAAAGAAGUAGGUAGCUUAACCUUCGGGAGGGCGCUUACCACUUUGUGAUUCAUGACUGGGGUGAAGUCGUA
rnacentral:rRNA from 1 species